AGGACAAAUAGCGUUCCCAGGGAGCCAACCAGCGCCUGCGGGGCCGGCCCAGGUGGGAGCUGGCGCGGGGGCGUUGGCCCGCAUCCUGCAGCCCUUAUCUGCACGCGCACCCCAUGACCUUGCUGCCCCUCCUAGUGGGAGCAAACAUUGCCUAUGGAGGUCCAGAUGGGGGUGAUUUACCAAGCCUUGCUGAGCUGCGUUUAGUCUCACCGAGCCCCUGCCUCCUCUGCCGCGACUCAAGGUCUAAGAAACUUGACCCAGUGUGCCUAGCUCCCACCCAACUCGUACCCAAACCCAUACCCAAACCCGUACUGCUGUGCACUCUGAGAAUGAAGACAAGUGACACUCCUCUCUGGGACCUAGGCUCUCUUUGGCACGUUGAUGCGCUCUCUCCCGUCCCCAGAGGAGUAGCUAAUGGAGCAUAGCCUUAGGAGGAGAUAUCUGGUGGACUCCUGCAAUAACCAUCCAAGCAGAAGCCUCCAGGUGUGAUGGAUGUAGGAAGCAAGACGUCCCGGUCGCUGAGGAGGCUCACCGCCAACAGAAUACGCCAAAUGAGACCAGGAGGAGCCCCAGAGAAGAAGCAUGUGAAGGCUGAGAUGGAAGUGACAGCCACCAGAGCUGGAAAAGGCAAGAACAGAUCGUCCCCAGCGUCUGCAGAGGGGGCAUAGCCCUGAAGACAUCUUGAUUUCACAUGUCUGGCCUUCAAGCUGUGAAAGAAUAAAUCUCUCUGCUUUCAAA